AACGGCCAUACCAUGCUGAAUAUACCGGUUCUCGUUCGAUCACCGAAGUCAAGCAUCACUGGGCGCGGUCAGUACUUGGGUGGGUGACCACCUGGGAACACCGCGUGCCGUU
rnacentral:rRNA from 1 species